rnacentral:rRNA from 1 species
UGGCGGCCUUAGCGCGGUGGUCCCACCUGACCCCAUGCCGAACUCAGAAGUGAAACGCCGUAGCGCCGAUGGUAGU